GAACUUUGGGUGCAUGUUUUAUAGCAACGUAGAGGGUUGAAAAGAGGGCUUCGCAAUCGGGACAAGCCGGGGAACCAGAAAGCGGAGAAGGAGGUGGAAGGUGGGUACCAAGGGAAGUAGAGGGGGGUUAGUUAUUUAGAGAUGACGUCAGGAAGAUCAAGAAGGGAAGAAGGGAGAUAAAUACCUAGGGAGGUAGAACGAAAACAACGGCUGGAUUUGGCGUUCUACGUCGUACCAGCGGCCGUACCUAUUCGAACCGGGUUCGCAUCUGGAGCGGGAAAUGGGUUGGAGGUACUUGGUACGCACGGUGGGGACCGCAGGAGGGGUCGUAGUGUACACGUGGUCUCUACUCUUCCCGCUCUCGCUGCCGACGUUCUAAAUGAAAGCGCCACGACUUCCUCUAGGUCUAGGGUUAGGUUCAUCACGGAAUCAGCGGGUUCCAUGCUCGUCCUUCUACUCCAGCGGAGUAACAAAGAAACAGAUCUAGAGGUGCAGGCACAUCAAAAGGACCUCCGGACCUAUAACGCACUACACGUCCUGUUAAUCACUACGUAUACACGAAACGCAAGGACCACACACACAUAUUGACGUAUACGUGUAAUAAAAAAAGUAAUAAAACGCUAAAGAAAAGCUCUGAAAUCACUAACCAAACACCGGAUUCGAAUACAUGUAUAAGAUUUCACAUACCUACACAACGACGGUC
rnacentral:rRNA from 1 species